rnacentral:rRNA from 1 species
AGCAGUCGCCACGGGAAAACGGGGGGGGCAAGUGUUAUUCGGAAUGACUGGGCGUAAAGGGCACGUAGGCGGUGAAAAGGGUGGAAAGUGAAAGUCGCCAAAACACUGGCGGGGUGCUUUCUUGACCAUUUCACUUGAGUGAGAUAGGGGAGAGUGGAAUUUCGUGUGGAGGGAUCAAAUCCUAAGAUAUACGAAGGAACGCCAACCGCGAAGGCAGCUCUCUGGGUCCCCACUGACGCUGGGGUGCGAAAGCAUGGGGAGCAAACAGGAUCAGAUACCCCAGUAGUCCCUGUCUCUUAUACA